UGCUUCCUGCAGUCGACGGCAGCGCGGGGGCACCCUGGCGGCGAGUGGCGAACGGGUGAGUAAUACAUCGGAACGUGUCCUGGAGUGGGGGAUAGCCCGGCGAAAGCCGGAUUAAUACCGCAUACGCUCUGAGGAGGAAAGCGGGGGAUCUUCGGACCUCGCGCUCAAGGGGCGGCCGAUGGCAGAUUAGCUAGUUGGUGGGGUAAAGGCCUACCAAGGCGACGAUCUGUAGCUGGUCUGAGAGGACGACCAGCCACACUGGGACUGAGACACGGCCCAGACUCCUACGGGAGGCAGCAGUGGGGAAUUUUGGACAAUGGGGGCAACCCUGAUCCAGCAAUGCCGCGUGUGUGAAGAAGGCCUUCGGGUUGUAAAGCACUUUUGUCCGGAAAGAAAACCGCUUCUCUAAUACAGGGGCGGGAUGACGGUACCGGAAGAAUAAGCACCGGCUAACUACGUGCCAGCAGCCGCGGUAAUACGUAGGGUGCAAGCGUUAAUCGGAAUUACUGGGCGUAAAGCGUGCGCAGGCGGUUCGCUAAGACCGAUGUGAAAUCCCCGGGCUUAACCUGGGAACUGCAUUGGUGACUGGCGGGCUAGAGUAUGGCAGAGGGGGGUAGAAUUCCACGUGUAGCAGUGAAAUGCGUAGAGAUGUGGAGGAAUACCGAUGGCGAAGGCAGCCCCCUGGGCCAAUACUGACGCUCAUGCACGAAAGCGUGGGGAGCAAACAGGAUUAGAUACCCUGGUAGUCCACGCCCUAAACGAUGUCAACUAGUUGUCGGGUCUUCAUUGACUUGGUAACGAAGCUAACGCGUGAAGUUGACCGCCUGGGGAGUACGGUCGCAAGAUUAAA
rnacentral:rRNA from 1 species